rnacentral:rRNA from 1 species
UACGAAGGGGCUAGCGUUGCUCGGAAUCACUGGGCGUAAGGUGCGUAGGCGGGUCUUUAAGUUAGAGGUGAAAGCCCGGAGCUUAACUCCGGAACUGCCUUUAAGACUGCAUCGCUAGAAUUGUGGAGAGGUGAGUGGAAUUCCGAGUGUAGAGGUGAAAUUCGUAGAUAUGGGGAGGAACACCGGUGGCGAAGGCGGCCAGCCUGGACGGUCACUGACGCUGAGACGCGAAAGCGUGGGUAGCAAACAGG